rnacentral:siRNA from 1 species
CCAAACUAACCUAAAUGGGUGACC